rnacentral:rRNA from 1 species
AGGGAAUCUUCCGCAAUGGACGAAAGUCUGACGGAGCAACGCCGCGUGAGUGAUGAAGGUUUUCGGAUCGUAAAACUCUGUUGUUAGGGAAGAACAAGUACCGUUCGAAUAGGGCGGCACCUUGACGGUACCUAACCAGAAAGCCACGGCUAACUACGUGCCAGCAGCCGCGGUAAUACGUAGGUGGCAAGCGUUGUCCGGAAUUAUUGGGCGUAAAGCGCGCGCAGGCGGUCUUUUAAGUCUGAUGUGAAAGCCCACGGCUCAACCGUGGAGGGUCAUUGGAAACUGGGAGGCUUGAGUGCAGAAGAGGAGAGUGGAAUUCCACAUGUAGCGGUGAAAUGCGUAGAGAUGUGGAGGAACACCAGUGGCGAAGGCGGCUCUCUGGUCUGUAACUGACGCUGAGGCGCGAAAGCGUGGGGAGCAAAC